rnacentral:rRNA from 1 species
AGUGGGUGUAACGUACCUACUAGCCUACGACGGGUACGGGUUGUGAGAGCAAGAGCCCGGAGAUGGAUUCUGAGACACGAAUCCAGGCCCUACGGGGUGCAGCAGGCGCGAAAACUUUACAAUGCGGGAAACCGUGAUAAGGGAAUCUCGAGUGCCAGCAUAUAAUGUUGGCUGUCCAGAUGCCUAAAAAGCAUCUGUUAACAAGGGCCGGGCAAGACCGGUGCCAGCCGCCGCGGUAACACCGGCGGCCCGAGUGGUAACCGUUAUUAUUGGGUCUAAAGGGUCUGUAGCCGGCCAUGUAAGUCCCUUGGGAAAUCUGGCAGCUCAACUGUCAGGCUGCUAGGGGAUACUGCUUGGCUUGGGACCGGGAGAGGUGAGAGGUACCUUGAGGGUAGGGGUGAAAUCUUGUGAUCCUCGGGGGACCACCAGUGGCGAAGGCGUCUCACCAGAACGGAUCCGACGGUAAGGGACGAAAGCUAGGGGCACGAACCGGAUUAGAU